AUAAAAACAUCCUUCAGAACGCUGUUCCCACAGAUAGAGGAGGCGAUGGUUCAGCCCCUCAGAGAGUCCAGAGAUCGGUAUGAAGAGCUCAAGCAGAUUGACGACGCCAUGAACGAGGCACAGAAGAAGAAAAGUGAGAACUUGACUAUGGGUGGGAAGAAGUAAGACGUCUGAAAACAGCACCAGAGUGAAGGAGACAAAGCGUGGAAUUGUUUGGGUGCGUUUAGCGUCUGGAAACCAUCACGUUGUGCACUGAGUGGCGCAGAAAUCCAGUGGGUUUUGUGGUGGAUCUCUGGCAUGGAUCUGACACUUGUUACAAUCUACUGAGGGACAGGAGGACAAGGAUCCAGUUUUUCUUUUUCUUCCUUCUUUCAGGGAAUGACAACAUUUGUACAGCACAGACUACUUCACUGAACAAUAUUUAGAUACAUAUCUUUAUGGUUUUUUAUGUGAGCCACAUUUUUUUACUGAAUGUACAGAUUUUAGUGACCUUUGUUCUUUCC